AACGAACGCUGGCGGCGUGGAUAAGACAUGCAAGUCGAACGGGGUUGUUUGUGUAGCAAUACAUCGACAACCUAGUGGCGAACGGGUGCGUAACACGUGAGCAAUCUGCCGGGAAGUGGGGGAUAGCUCGCCGAAAGGCGAAUUAAUACCGCAUGUGGCCAGAGGGGACAUCCCUUCGACGCCAAAGUCGCAAGACGCUUCCUGAUGAGCUCGCGGCCUAUCAGCUUGUUGGUGAGGUAACGGCUCACCAAGGCUAUGACGGGUAGCUGGUCUGAGAGGACGACCAGCCACACUGGAACGGGGACACGGUCCAGACACCUACGGGUGGCAGCAGUCGAGAAUUUUUCACAAUGGGGGCAACCCUGAUGGAGCGACGCCGCGUGGAGGAUGAAGGUCUUCGGAUUGUAAACUCCUGUCAUGCGAGAACAAGAAAGUGAUAGUAUCGCAAGAGGAAGAGAUGGCUAACUCUGUGCCAGCCGCCGCGGUAA
rnacentral:rRNA from 1 species